rnacentral:rRNA from 1 species
CGCGUAGGUGGUUUGUUAAGUUGGAUGUGAAAUCCCCGGGCUCAACCUGGGAACUGCAUUCAAAACUGACAAGCUAGAGUAUGGUAGAGGGUGGUGGAAUUUCCUGUGUAGCGGUGAAAUGCGUAGAUAUAGGAAGGAACACCAGUGGCGAAGGCGACCACCUGGACAAAGACUGACGCUCAGGUGCGAAAGCGUGGGGAGCAAACAGGAUUAGAUACCCUUGUA